CCUACGGGUGGCAGCAGUGGGGAAUAUUGCACAAUGGAGGAAACCCUGAUGCAGCGACGCCGCGUGCGUGAAGAAGUCUUUCGGUAUGGAAAGCUCUAUUAGCAGAGGAGAAAAUGACGGUACCUGACUACGAAGCCCCGGCUAACUACGUGCCAGAAGCGCCGGUAAUACGUAGGGGGCAGGCGUUAUCCGGAUUUACUGGGUGUAAAGAGUUCGUAGGCGGAAUGUAAAGUCCGGUGUUAAAGGCGCAGGCUAAACCUGUGUAUGGCACUUGAUACUGGCGAGCUGGAAUGCGGUAGAGGUAGAGGGAAUUCCUGGUGUAGCGGUGAAAUGCUUAGAUAUCAGGAGGAACAUCGAUUGCGUAAGCGCUUUACUGGGCCGUAAUUGACGCUGAGGAACGAAAGCCAGGGUAGCAAAUGGGAUUAGAUACCCCUGUAGUC
rnacentral:rRNA from 1 species